GCGGGUGCACCAGCAUCUAUGGAGCGAAGGAAAUGUGUGACGUUUCGGGUCAAGACUCUUCUUCAGACUGGUUAAGGAUAAAGGUAACGAUACUUAUAGACGGUAAUGUGAAGAGAUAAAGACCAAUGAUUGAAAGGAAUG